rnacentral:rRNA from 1 species
CCUACGGGAGGCUGCAGUAAGGAAUAUUGGUCAAUGGACGGAAGUCUGAACCAGCCAUCCCGCGUGCAGGAAGAAGGUCCUAUGGAUUGUAAACUGCUUUUAGCAGAGACGAAACGCCUUCAUUUAUGGGGGUUUGACGGUAUCUGCGGACUAAGCACCGGCUAACUCCGUGCCAGCAGCCGCGGUAAUACGGAGGGUGCAAGCGUUAUCCGGAAUCACUGGGUUUAAGGGGGGGGUAGACGGGGGUUUAGAAAGCCUGUAGCUUAACUACAGAAUUGCCAGUGAUACUGAUGUGCUUGAAUGGGGUUGAGGUUAGCGGAAUGUGACAUGUAACGGUGAAAUGUUUAGAUAUGUCAUGGAACACCGAUUGCGAAGGCAGCUAGCUGGGCCUUGAUUGACGCUGAGGCACGAAAGCGUGGGUAGCGAACAGGAUUAGAUACCCCAGUAGUC